CCCGAGGGCCGGGAUCCAAGGCGGGCGCCACCGCCGCCGCCCGGCUCCCCGACUCUCUGGGAUCCUCGCUCUGGAACCUCUAACCUGGUGACCCCGAGGUUCCGCCAGGGAGUCUGGGGCGCAGACGAGCAUGUCCCAGCCCAGCCGCCCGCCCGCCCUCACACCGGGAAGGACAAGGUCAGACAAUGCGUCCUCUUGGGGCCUGAGCCCUCACUGUGCACUAGGGACCAGACAGCAGCGGAGAAGUCUCCCCAGGUAUCAUCAUCUCCACCCCCGCAGAGACGAAUCUCAUCACCAGUCCCCACCGAGAGUGCGGAUCCAGCUGCACAGACGCCAGGACGGAAGAAAAGUUGUUUGCAUUAACAAAACGACAUCUGCCGAUGUGGGCUGAGAAACCACACGCUGGGCUCCAAGAAAAGUUCCCCUGAGACACUGUCCUGGCGCUGCCAGCUCAUAGGCGAGAGACAGCCACCAAAGUCAGGGGCUCAGGAACAGUACAAAAAAAUCACAAGCUAUCCCAGACGGUGCACAUCACGGGCCAGGCCAAAAUCUGCAACCUUCAUCACGUUGUCCUCAGUCACCAACACGUUUCUGGCAGCCAAGUCUCUGUGAACGCACUGAGGAGGCGUGAAAGGAACCUGGCUACGCUGACACCUCCCUCGCCUAAGCAGGCUGGACACCCACUCUUCCACGCUGACAGACCCUACCCGGCCUGGGCCCCAGCUCUGCUCACCUUCCGAGAAGCCAGGUGCUCCAUACCUCGGGCCACCUGACAGGCACAGGACACGAGAUCUUUGCGGCAUUUUCACAGCCACGGUGACGGGCUCGGCAGUGCUGUCCAGGUGAAGGCCAACAGCCUCUGCCUUAAAAACCUGGCCAAAGCAGCCUUCUCCUAGAGAAUGACCGAGUGUCAGCCUGUCCGAAGAAGCAGAGGCCGCCAGAAGAGGGCGCCAGACCCCAUUACAGAUGGCUGUGAGCCACCAUGUGGUUGCUGGGACUUGAACUCAGGACCUCGGGAAGAGCAGGCCGUGCUCUUAACCACUGAGCCGUCUCCCCAGCCCCCGGCAAUGCGCUUCUGCUCAUGAAGACAGAGUAACCCGAGUCUCACCCUGGACCCCACCUCGGGAGUAUUUCACCCCACCUGCCACAGGCCCCUGCCUGGUAGCCAUCUAGCCCCCAGCCACAGAACCCUCUCCAGGUCUACACAACGCCCCACCAGCACUGACCUAAUUCUCGAUAUUUCCCACUUGGGGUCGGCUGGCGGCGGACGCUCAGAAACACUGGCCAUGACGGUAGAUUCUCUUGAAAUUGGGUGGACGAUGCGGACCCAGGGUAGACCAGAGUUCACGGAGGUCACCUGCUUGGAUCAUCGGGGACAGGUUGGAGCCAGACAACGCAUGCUGGGCAUUGGGAAAGGGUUGAGGUCCCGUGGGGACUGAAGACUCAAAGUUGUGUGGAGUCGCGUGGGAUCCGUGGGGAGGAUAGGAACAGGGAAGGGUCAGCUCGUCUGGCGGCAGAGCAGUGAGUGCUAAGCCGGCCUCAGGCCCUGCUGGGACUUUAGGAGGAACAGAGAGAUCAAAACUCGGUAUCUAAUUCCAGUUACCUCUUGCUCGGGUGGGAAGCGAAAUGACAUAUAGUAAGUUCUUGCUGCCCUAAAGAACAGCAGAACGUUCAGUUCAAGAUUUUUGUAAAAAAAAAAUGGUUUUCCUCUUAUUACUGAGGACUUUUGAUGGUGGACAGCGGUUAAGAGCAUUGCCUGCUCUUCCAAAGGUCCCGAGUUCAAGUCCCGGCAACCACACGGUGGCUCACAACCAUCUGUAAUGGGGUCUGCUAGAUUCUUCCGUUUGCCCUGAGUCACCCCGGAAGAAUGUGGACACCAGUGCCGGCCAGCGGCGGCGUGAGACUGCGCAUCAACACUCAAAACAUUUAAAACGUAUAAAACGAAAGACAAAUGGUCUCUGGGGGAGGAACCGUAUUCCCCCCCCCCCUUUUUUUUCGUUUUACGCACAUAGGCUCUGCGCGCACGAUGCGCUCGUCCCACGGCACCCUGUCCUGGAGGAUGACAAGGUUUUCCCGUUUUAUAACAAAUGGAGAAGCCAGAGCAAAAUUUAGCAAAGCCCGUGCCGGUGCAGGCUGGGCCGUUAUCAGUUCUUACAGUGUUUGGAGCUCCCGCGUGGGCAAAAGCCUGGAGACGGCGACUUUUAACAACACCUCGUAAUCUUGCUCCCGCGUGAGCCGAGGCGAAAAUAAGACGGGACUGCGCAUCCACGGGUGCGCGGACAUAUCGCGGGCGCCCAAAAGAAGGCGGACGGGUGACAUCCACCUGCCAUAAAUGGUUCGGGGCCAGGCCACGGGGGUCAACUCCCAAAUGGGGAACAGGAGAAAGUCCUGUACACCGAGAGCACUGUUUAACGACGGCCGUGGGUUGCUCUCGGGAAAUCUUAAAAGGAAAUCUUCACGAGGCACGCAGCAUCGAGAUGAAAAUCGAUUGUGAGCGUUUAUUUAUUUUUUGCAGCUUGCCCCACGGUACGAAUCCGGUGGGUAAGCUGACGCGCCACUGCAUUCCCCUCGCUCAAUGGACCGCGGAGGUCAGCGUGAGCCCGCGAAUGCCCCGCGGAAAUGGGAACAGACCGGGCACAGCGCCAAGCUCGAAGAGCCAGUCACUGCGUCUGGACUCGACGGGCAGAGGCCAUAGAAGCUGCGGUUUCCAAAGGUGCAAGAAUUUUGCCCACGGACUGACUGUCGGUAGAAAGGUUACAUGGAAGGAAAAUCAGUGUAUUUCUCUGAGGCCAUUCGUGCCGCCGCCCCCGGAGCAGAUUGAGUAUCAGCAGGGUGAAUAUCAGAAUCAGCAGGGGAGGCCACCGCAGCUCUCCCGGAGGAAGACGCAGCAGCCAACGCAUACCCUGCCCCUGCCAGGGGCUGCAGAGAUAUCAUAACUUUAGGGAAACACACCGGGUGAUUUUUGAAAAAAAAAGUGACCGACCGAUCGGAAGGAUAAGGAUGACCCAACCUGCGGGGAUCCGUGCGUAAAAACAAGGUCCGGUCUUCCGCAGAAUUUCCGCAACCCAGUUAUUCCUGCCUGGGUCUGCGGUGUGAUAACCUGGUCAGGUGACAUCCCAAAGGUCUGCAAACUAAAAAUGACACGUCGCCCAGCUGACGGGGACGAGACAACAAUUGUUACAGGAGACCCAUGAUCGCGCACGCACCCACAGGCUGGGUCCUCGCUGCCAAAAAAAAAAAAAAAAAAAUAAGUUUAUAACCUUUCUGAAUAACACGUGGCCCAGUUGACGGGUACGAGAUUAUAAUUUUUUACAGGAGACCCGUGAAACUCCAGUAGGGCUACGCUGAGAGGGGAAAAUUAAAUUAUCAAUACCAGCGGCUGAGGAGAGUCAAUAUAAUGAACCUAACCAGAGGCGAGCUUCGUUUAAGUAAAGCAACACAUUGUCUUUCUUGCCUGAGGCGUCAGCUCUGGAAAGGAGGCUGGGUCUGGAUUUCCCUGCGGUUUCUGUCCCUGCAGCCGUGUGCCGCUUUGAGAUCCCACAGCAGCCUCCAUUCACCAGA